rnacentral:tRNA from 1 species
GCUCAACUAGCUCAGUCAGUAGCGUAUGAGACUCUUAAUCUCAGGGUUGUGGGUUCAAACCCCAAGUUGGGUG